rnacentral:rRNA from 1 species
UACGUAGGGUGCAAGCGUUGUCCGGAAUUAUUGGGCGUAAAGAGCUCGUAGGCGGUUCGUCGCGUCGGCUGUGAAAACCCGGAGCUCAACUCCGGGCCUGCAGUCGAUACGGGCGGACUUGAGUUCGGCAGGGGAGACGUGGAAUUCCUGUGGUAGCGGUGGAAUGCGCAGAUAUCAGGAGGAACACCAAUAGCGAAGGCAGCUCGCUGGGACGUUACUGACACUGAGGCGCGAAAGCGUGGGGAGCGAACAGG